GGGGGGGGGCUGCUCUAUAUGAUUGCCCUAGGGACUGGAGGUAUUAAACCAUGCGUGUCAUCCUUUGGGGCUGAUCGGUUUGAUGACAGUGAUCCGACAGAGAGAGUAAAGCAGAGUUCCUUCUUCAAUUGGUUCUAUUUCUGCAUAAAUAUCGGUGCAUUCAUAUCCGGCACUGUUAUUGUUUGGAUACAAGAUAACUCGGGUUGGGGAAUAGGAUUUUCCAUUCCUACUGUAUUUAUGGCAUUGCCUAUUGCAAGCUUCUUUUCAGCUUCAGAUAUGUAUAGAUUUCAGAAACCUGGUGGGAGUCCACUUACAAGAGUGUGCCAGGUCGUUGUCGCAGCAUUCCGUAAGUGGCAUGUUGAACUGCCACAUGACACUGCUCUUUUGUAUGUAGUUGAUGGUCAAAAUUCAGCAAUAGAGGGAAGCGGAAAGCUAGAGCACACAAGUGAACUUGAGUAAUUAUCUUCCUUAUACUGCAUCAUUGCCUUAAUUUUAUGUUAAUGUAUUAAUACAACAACAGAAGGUACUUGCGAUGUUAAUGAACACACUGAAUUGGACACAACCUUCAGUAAGGCUUAUUUUUGGACGCAUGGCUUCAUUCCUUCAUUCCUUCAUUUACCAUACGCAAAUCUUGGUCUUCAAUUUGUUUGGUUUCCUAUGAUUGACCGGAGAUUGUGAUGCUAUGUAAGCCUACAUCGUAGAGUGAAUCAGAUAUGUGCUAAGGAUAAUGCAACCAAUCCAACUGUUAACUUUGGUGUGCUUUUUGGAUGGACUAAUAUGAAGACGAUGGCUAGCUCGCAUUGCCAUUGUAUAGUCUAGAAGCAAGGGCAAGGAUUAUAGGGAAAACAAAGGUACAAUGCUCACAAUAUAUUUUACCUUUUUGGCUAAGUUUUGGUGCUUGCGCAAGAAAAUAACACCAUCAUUAUACCUACUGCUCAUUUUUUAUUCAGGCAAUUAGCCAUCAGUAGGAAAUGCCAACUAAUUGUACUUUCUUUGUUACAGAGGUGAAAUUACUACUACUUUUUGAAAGCUUUUUUUGUUGCAUGUUCCGCUUUCUUAAUCUUCUGUUUGUUUAAAUGUACAUACAUGUGCUUACACAAUGAAUCUCAUCAUGCUAUCAUUUCCUGAAUAAGCUAAGGAUAUAUGUUUUCAAAGCCUCUGUUACGAGUGAAAUGCAGAAAUGGAAGCAAGGAGUCACGGCUUACUUCUAUUCGGAUUCCAUCUCUACUAGGACAAUCCUGAUAUCCUUCUCACCAUUUAUAUUUGAUUCCUUGGAGAUUCAUAAAGAAGGUCUAUGCAAAAUAUCCGAAUUUCAAACAGACCCACACUUGAGGUUUUUUGUUGCAUUUUCUGUAUCUUAUUCUUCUGGAGGGUGGAUAUAGAACACAGGUUGAAUUUCACCGUACAAAAGAGCGUUUACAUGCUUCAGCACGCCGGAUUAAGCUGUCAAGCCCUGUAUGUGAGGAUGGGGAAACAUCAAAGAACCAUGUAGCCGAUCUGGCCAUUGAAUGCAUGGAAACCAGCGAGUAGAAGGUGCUUGUUGACUAUAACUAUUAUCAGAUAGAGCAACAGAAAAAUGCAUGUGCAAGGGUAGCUGUUAGAAAAA